GCCUGGGAGGUUCAGUGGGUUGAGCAUCCGACUUCGGCUCAGGUCAUGAUCUCCACAGUUCAUGGGUUCGAGCCCCAUAUCAGGCU
rnacentral:tRNA from 1 species